CGACCUGCACGAAUGGCGUAACGAUCUGAAAGCUGUCUUAACGAGGGACACAGCGAACUUGUAGUACCGGUGAAGAUGCCGGUUUCCCGCAUCUAGACGGAAAGACCCCGUGCACCUUGACUACAACUUGAUAGUGAUUUCGGGCAAAUAAUGCGCAGCAUAGGUGGGAGGCUUUGAUGUCAGGCUUUUGGGCUUGGCGGAGCCAUCGGUGAGAUACCACCCUUCAUUUGUUUGGACUCUAA
rnacentral:rRNA from 14 species